rnacentral:rRNA from 1 species
GAUCCUGGCUCAGGAUGAACGCUAGCUACAGGCUUAACACAUGCAAGUCGAGGGGAAACGAUAUUGGAAGCUUGCUUCCGAUAGGCGUCGACCGGCGCACGGGUGAGUAACGCGUAUCCAACCUGCCCACCACUUGGGGAUAACCUUGCGAAAGUAAGACUAAUACCCAAUGAUAUCUCUAGAAGACAUCUGAAAGAAGAUUAAAGAAUUAUUCGGUGAUGGAUGGGGAGUGCGU